GACGAACGCUGGCGGCGUGCUUAACACAUGCAAGUCGAGCGGUAAGGCCCUUUCGGGGGUACACGAGCGGCGAACGGGUGAGUAACACGUGGGUGACCUGCCCUCAGCUCUGGGAUAAGCCCGGGAAACUGGGUCUAAUACCGGAUAUGACUUCAUGACGCAUGUUGUGGAGUGGAAAGCCUUGUGCGGCUGAGGAUGGGCCCGCGGCCUAUCAGCUUGUUGGUGGGGUGANGGCCUACCAAGGCGACGACGGGUAGCCGGCCUGAGAGGGCGACCGGCCACACUGGGACUGAGAUACGGCCCAGACUCCUACGGGAGGCAGCAGUGGGGAAUAUUGGACAAUGGGCGCAAGCCUGAUCCAGCCAUGCCGCGUGAGUGAUGAAGGCCCUAGGGCUGUAAAGCUCUUUUGUGCGGGAAGAUAAUGACGGUACCGCAAGAAUAAGCCCCGGCUAACUUCGUGCCAGCAGCCGCAGUAAU
rnacentral:rRNA from 1 species